UUAGGAGCUACUGUGUUGCUGUUUGACACCAUAUCAGAACCUCUUCCCAAGAGUGAAGAGGAUCAUAGCAUUAGUUGGAAAGAAUUCCAGACAAAAGCUUGAAUCAGAACUGUUUCUGCAUAAACCAGUGCCAUACAGAUGUCCUUCCAUUCCCUGCUCUUUUAAGAAAAGACUACAGUCCUCCUCUGAAACAUUCAUACUGUGGGAAAACUGUACAAACAAGACAUUUGAUCAAUUCAAGAGCAAACUUACCCGAUCACCAGCACCACCAGCAGGACCAGGAGCACCAAUAGCACCAGGGAGACCCUACAGGUUAAGAGAAGGACAUCAUUUGUAAGAAAAUGUAUUUGGGUAACCUGCAUUUUUAUCAGUUAGUGAAAUUCAAGCAUCUCCCAGACCUGUGCAUAUGCAACAAAGAGUACCAGCCAUCAGCCUUACCUUCUC